AUUCCAUGAUGUGGACAUUCUAGGAUGUAGUCUUGAAAGCGCUCCCAUGCUUCUAGAACAGAUUCAUCAUUUUGUUGCUGAAAACUUUUAAUCUUCCCACGGAGAGC
rnacentral:snoRNA from 1 species